rnacentral:piRNA from 1 species
UGGUAUAAGAGGUUCCUUAGAGUCAAA